UCUUUUGGCCCCGCCGGCCGCCGUCCCGCCUUCUCCGUCUGCGCGUGCGCGCUGGGGCUGGAGCGCGUAAGACGCUGGUGUGUGAGACGCGAGGAGCGUGUGCUGGUCACCGGCUCGACUCCCUCACGGCCCUUCAGCUGUGGGCGCCGGAGACCAAGAGCGACCACCCAGGCCCAGUUUGUGUUACCUGAGUCAUUACUCCGCAGUUGUGGCAUUCUAUUAUCUGCAUUCUGGUCUGUCACCGUCAGCCCACAUUGGUUUCUGUCUUACAUCUACGGUUCUGUGAUCCAUUUGGCAUUCAUUUUGGCGCAUGGUUCAACUUCACUGUUUCCCUCAUGGCUCUUCAGUUGUGCCAGCACCUCUUGCUGAAGAAAUACUGCUUCCCUGUUGAGUGGUCACAGAACACUUGGGGAGACCCGUCUGUCACAGAUGGAUGAGUUUCUCUUUGGACUCUCAGUUCUGUUCCGCUGACCUCUAGGUGCGUACUUAGGCCAGUACGACAAAACUGUCUUUUUUUUAACACCUUAAUUUCAGUUUGAAUUUUCUUUUUUACUGACAGCUAGCAACCAUAUGUGUUUAUGGGGAACAGCGUGAUGAUUCCAUACGUGUAUCCAUGGUGCAGUGAGCAACUCAGGCAAAUUAACAUGGUCAUGCCACCUCCUACUUACUUCUUUGUGGUAAGAACACUAGAAGUCCACUCUUUUAGCAAUUCUGAAAUCACGUUAGUAUUAACUAUCAUCAUUUUGCUAUGGAAUAGAACGCCACACCUUAUUCCUCCCCUCUAAGUGAAACUUUAUACCCAUAGGUCAAUAUUGCCUUUUCCUUUGUUCACCAGCCCCCACCCCCAAACCCUGCCCCCCCUGACUCUGGUAACCAUUGAACUCUGUUUUCUUGAAUCUGACCCUUUUAGAUUCUAUGUGUAGGUGAGAUCAUGCAACGUUCGUCUUUCUGUGCCUAGCUGAUGUCAGUUAACAUGAU